UACAGAGGGUGCUAGCGUUGUUCGGAAUCAUUGGGCGUAAAGGGCGCGCAGGCGGCCCUCCAAGUCAGGCGUGAAAGCCCCGGCUCAACCCGGGAACAGCGCUUGAGACUGGGGGGCUUGAGUUCGGGAGAGGAGAGUGGAAUUCCCAGUGUAGAGGUGAAAUUCGUAGAUAUUGGGAAGAACACCGGUGGCGAAGGCGGCGUCUCGUGGACCGACACUGACGCUGAGGCGCGAAAGCGUGGGAGCAAACAGG
rnacentral:rRNA from 1 species